rnacentral:rRNA from 1 species
UACGAAGGGGGCUAGCGUUGCUCGGAAUUACUGGGCGUAAAGGGCGCGUAGGCGGAUAGUUAAGUCAGAGGUGAAAGCCCAGGGCUCAACCUUGGAAUUGCCUUUGAUACUGGCUAUCUUGAGUUCGGGAGAGGUGAGUGGAAUUCCGAGUGUAGAGGUGAAAUUCGUAGAUAUUCGGAGGAACACCAGUGGCGAAGGCGGCUCACUGGUCCGGUACUGACGCUGAGGUGCGAAAGCGUGGGGAGCGAACAGG